rnacentral:rRNA from 1 species
AGAGUUUGAUCAUGGCUCAGAACGAACGCUGGCGGCGUGGAUUAGGCAUGCAAGUCGAACGACACGACCCCUUCGGGGGUGACAGUAGAGUGGCAAACGGGUGAGUAACGCGUGGGUAACCAACCCUCGAGCCGGGGAUAACUGGCCGAAAGGCUAGCUAAUACCGGAUGAGGUCUCGGGUACGGGAGUAGCCGAGACGAAAGAUGGCCUCUGAUAUACGCUAUCGCUUGAGGACGGGCCCGCGUCCCAUUAGCUGGUGGGUGAGGUAACGGCUCACCAAGGCAACGAUGGGUAGCCGGUCUGAGAGGAUGGUCGGCCACACUGGGAUUGAGAUACGGCCCAGACUCCCACGGGAGGCAGCAGUCGAGAGGCAUUCGCAAUGGGGGAAACCCUGACGAUGCGACGCCGCGUGCGGGAUGACGGCCUUCGGGUUGUAAACCGCUGUCACACAGGCCGAAAACCGGCUAACGAAUAGGGUGCCGGCUUGACGUAUCUGUGAGAGGAAGCUCCGGCUAAUUCCGUGCCAGCAGCCGCGGUGAUACGGAGGGAGCUAGCGUUGUUCGGAAUUACUGGGCGUAAAGGGCGUGUAGGCGGUUGUACAAGUCAUGUGUGAAACCUGCCGGCUCAACUGGCAGCCUGCACCUGUAACUGUAUGACUUGAGUACGGGAGAGGAGAGUGGAAUUCCUGGUGUAGCGGUGG